ensembl:lncRNA
CCUUUAGAAUCCUUGCCCACGGAUCGCUAGCCAAACAGGAAGUGAGCCAGUGGCGCUCUGCCCUGCCUCCCAUGGUUUGAAGCUCUGCCCUCUUUCCUAUUUCCUGGCUCUUCUGUGUCGAAACGCUUCGCGCCUUCAGCCAGGAAAUUCCUUCAGUGGAAACACAGUCAGCCUGGCCUUUUGGAAGCAGCUGUAAAAUAACCGGUCCUUGUGUUUCGGUUUGUGUUGGUAUAUCUCAGAGCUGGGCGGUCCGGAUGAUAACUUCGGGGCAAUGAGCACUUUCCCACUCCUAGGAGGUGGGAAAGCCCUGAAUUAGCAACAUCAACACCACCAACAAACAGUCCCGAGAAUCUUCUACAGUCUGGAGACACAAAUGAGCAAAUAAUCACCACAGAAACAAGGAGCUUCUGAUGAGAGGCAGGGCGUGAAGGAAAGAAGCUGAUAAGAAAUGAUUCAUCCAGAGGCUCAGUCCGACUCAGGCUCCUAAUCUGGCAUGGACACG